rnacentral:rRNA from 1 species
UACAGAGGCCUCGAGCGUUAGGCGGAAUCACUGGGCUUAAAGCGUGUGUAGGUGGAUGCCUAAGUACCUUGUGAAAUCCCAUGGCUUAACCAUGGAAUGGCUUGGUAUACUGGGUGUCUUGAGCCACUCAGGGGCUACUGGAACUAACGGUGGAGCGGUGAAAUGCGUAGAUAUCGUUAGGAACGCCAAUGGUGAAAACAGGUAGCUGGGGGUGUGCUGACACUGAGACACGAAAGCCAGGGGAGCGAACGGG